rnacentral:rRNA from 16 species
AGUGCCCGCUCAUGAAGAUCCCACAAAAGGUGUUGGUUCAUUCAGACAGCAGGACGGUGGCCAUGGAAGUCGGAAGCCGCUAAGGAGUGUGUAACAACUCACCUGCCGAAUGACCUAGCCCUGAAAAUGGAUGGCGCUGUAGCGGGCGACUUUUGCCCGGCCAUGGUCGCUCUGGGUGCGGUCAUGAGUAGGAGGGCGUGGGGGUUGUGCGGCAGGCCGUGGCGUGAGCCAGGCUGAAGCGGCCCCUAGUGCAGAUCUUGGUGGAAGUAGCAAGUAUUCAAGCGUGAACUUUGAAGACUGAAGUGGGGAAAGGUUCCAUGUGAACAGCAGUUGUACAUGGGUGAGUCGGUCCUAAGGCGUGCAGAGGGUGGUUUGUAGGCACCGCGGCGUCGAAAGGGAAGCAGGUUAAUAUGUCCUGCACAAGGGUAGGUGUGCUAAAAGGUGGCGACACGUGGAGUGUCUGGAGACGUC